CUGCUGCCUUCCGUAGGAGUCUGGGCCGUGUCUCAGUCCCAGUGUGGCCGUCCACCCUCUCAGGCCGGCUGCUGAUCGUCGCUUUGGUGGGCCGUUACCCCGCCAACUGGCUAAUCAGACGCGGGCCCAUCCUGUACCACCGGAGUUUUCAAAGGAUUACCCAUGCGGUAUUCCCUAUUAUGCGGUAUUAGCACCUAUUUCUAAGUGUUAUCCCCCGGGUACAGGGCAGGUUGCCCACGCGUUACUCACCCGUCCGCCACUAAGACAG
rnacentral:rRNA from 1 species